rnacentral:rRNA from 1 species
AUUGAACGCUGGCGGCAGGCCUAACACAUGCAAGUCGAACGAGUGGCGGACGGGUGAGUAAUGUCUGGGAAACUGCCUGAUGGAGGGGGAUAACUACUGGAAACGGUAGCUAAUACCGCAUACCAUCAGAUGUGCCCAGAUGGGAUUAGCUAGUUGGUGGGGUAACGGCUCACCAAGGCGACGAUCCCUAGCUGGUCUGAGAGGAUGACCAGCCACACUGGAACCGAGACAAGGUCCAGACUCCUACGGGAGGGAGCAGUGGGGAAAAGUGCACAAUGGGCGCAAGCCUGAUGCAGCCAUGCCGCGGGUAUGAAGAAGGCCGUCGGGUUGGAAAGUAAUUUCAGCGGGGAGGCGUUACCCGCAGAAGAAGCACCGGCUAACUCCGGGCCAGGAGCCGGGGUAAUAC